rnacentral:rRNA from 1 species
UACAGAGGGUGCGAGCGUUAAUCGGAAUUACUGGGCGUAAAGCGUACGUAGGCGGUUAUUCAAGUCAGAGGUGAAAGCCCGGGGCUCAACCCCGGAACUGCCUUUGAAACUAGAUAGCUAGAGUCUUGGAGAGGUUAGUGGAAUUCCGAGUGUAGAGGUGAAAAUUCGUAGAUAUUCGGAAGAACACCAGUGGCGAAGGCGACUAACUGGACAAGUACUGACGCUGAGGUACGAAAGCGUGGGGAGCAAACAGG